rnacentral:rRNA from 1 species
UACGAGGGGGGCGAGCGUUGUUCGGAAUUAUUGGGCGUAAAGGGUGCGUAGGCGGUUUGGUAAGUCUGAUGUGAAAUCUAUGAGCUCAACUCAUAGUCUGCAUCGGAAACUGCCGGGCUUGAGUGUGGGAGAGGUGAGUGGAAUUCCUGGUGUAGCGGUGAAAUGCGUAGAUAUCAGGAGGAACACCUGUGGCGAAAAGCGGCUCACUGGACCAUAACUGACGCUGAUGCACGAAAGCUAGGGGAGCAAACAGG